ACAAACUUGGUCAUUUAGAGGAAGUAAAAGUCGUAACAAGGUUUCCGUAGGUGAACCUGCGGAAGGAUCAUUAUUGAAAUCUCAUGGGAAAGCGUGGAGGGGGAAGCGGAGCGGGCGAAGUUUGGUAGGAGGUUGUCGCUGGCCCUCGGGCAUGUGCACGCCUUUGCCCUAGUCCCCGUUUCGUCUCUCUUUUCAUGUGGACCCGUUCUCUCACACACCCGUGCACCCGUUGUAGGCUUUCCUCGAGAGGGGAACAGUCUAUGUCUUUCAUAAACCCGUCUGUAUGUCUAUAGAAUGUCUAUGUUGACGUCGACCGGCUCGACCGGCCGACGGUAAACGAAACUAUGAACAACUUUCAGCAACGGAUCUCUUGGCUCUCGCAUCGAUGAAGAACGCAGC
rnacentral:misc_RNA from 1 species